UACAGAGGGUGCAAGCGUUGCUCGGAUUUACUGGGCGUAAAGCGUACGCAGACGGUGAGAAAGGUCGGAUGUGAAAGCCCCGGGCUCAACCCGGGAACUGCAUCCGAAACCAUCUCGCUAGAGUAUGGGAGAGGGAAGCAGAAUUCCUGGUGUAGAGGUGAAAUUCGUAGAUAUCAGGAGGAAUACCUGCGGCGAAGGCGGCUUCCUGGCCCAUUACUGUCGUUCAGGUACGAAAGCGUGGGUAGCAAACAGG
rnacentral:rRNA from 1 species